rnacentral:rRNA from 1 species
AGCAGCCGCGGUAAUUCCAGCUCCAAUAGCGUAUAUUAAAGUUGUUGCAGUUAAAAAGCUCGUAGUUGAAUUUCGGGGUCAAUACGUCGGUCGUGCUUCGGUACGUACUGGCGUAAUUGAUUUCUCCCUUCUGACGAACCAUGAUGUCAUUAACUUGGUGUCAUGGGAAAUCAGGACUGUUACUUUGAAAAAAUUAGAGUGUUUAAAGCAGGCUCACGCUUGAAUACAUUAGCAUGGAAUAAUGAAAUAGGACGUUCGAUCCUAUUUUGUUGGUUUUUAGGAUCAACGUAAUGAUUAAUAGGGAUAGUUGGGGGCAUUAGUAUUCAAUUGUCAGAGGUGAAAUUCUUGGAUUUAUUGAAGACUAACUACUGCGAAAGCAUUUGCCAAGGAUGUUUUCAUUAAUCAAGAACGAAAGUUAGGGGAUCGAAGACGAUCAGAUACCGUCGUAGUCUUAACCAUAAACUAUGCCGACUAGGGAUCGGAUGAUGUUAAUUUUUUAAUGACUCAUUCGGCGCCUUACG